UUCGCAGGGUGAGAGAGAGGGGGAAUGGAAUUAGGGGGAUGUAGGGACGGGUAGGACUUGUGGUGGAGGAGGGGUGUCGACAGGUGGGCUCUGGCCCGGAGAGACAGCCCAAACAGAUCGGAUAAAGCCUCUGAUGCUCUCAGCCCACUCAGCUCUUCUUAGCUCGGAAAAUACAGUCUGCCAAGGGCUCUGCCUCAUCUCUGACACCUCACAUACACUCAUUCACUCAAGGCUUACACACACACACAACACACACACACACACACUAACACCCAACUCAGAUGAAAGAUGGAGGACAGAUGGCAAAUUCUCAGGAAGUUGGUGAAAUUCUCAGGAAGUUGGAGAAAUUCAGAUGCUACUUGUCUUCCUGGGAAUCAGUCAGCUGGAGUGACAGAGAAAGUCAGUUCUACAGACCUAAACAAAUGAUUGUCCCAUCAGGUACUCGGUUCUCUGUCUUUGUAGGUGGUUGAUUAACUGGAUUGCCCUGAAGAGUGUUUGGGCCACAUACAAUAAAAAAAUUAUAAUAAUCAAUUUCUUGAUAACCAAUUGGUGAAAAUGGCCCAGCUGGUCCGGAAGAGAUCGAGAAGGUCUAGACAUUCUGAGAUGGGAGUGACUGCAACAGCCAGAAACCAGUAUUGCAUGUGCCCAACCUACCUCAAGGAGCUCGUGACAUAAGGCGUCCCUAUCCAACAUCCCACACAUCAAUGUUGGUCAAUUUUGGUCAAUGCUGGUCAACACUAGUCAAUGUUGGUCAACACUAGUCAAUGUUGGUCAAUGCUGGUCAACACUAGUCAAUGCUGGUCAACGCUGGUCAAUUUUGGUCAAUGCUGGUCAACGCUGGUCAAUUUUGGUCAAUGCUGAUCAACGCUGGUCUAUGCUGGUCAACACUAGUCAACACUGGUCAAUGUUGGUCAACGCUGGUCAAUGUUGGUCAACGCUGGUCAACACUGGUCAAUGCUGGUCAACGCUGGUCUAUGCUGGUCAACACUGGUCAAUGCUGGUCAACGCUGGUCAAUGUUGGUCAACGCUGGUCAACGCUGGUCAAUGUUGGUCAACGCUGGUCUAUGCUGGUCAACACUGGUCAAUGCUGGUCAACGCUGGUCAAUGUUGGUCAACGCUGGUCAACGCUGGUCAAUGUUGGUCAACGCUGGUCAACACUGGUCAAUGCUGGUCAACGCUGGUCUAUGCUAGUCAAUGCUGGAUCCACUCUCAGCAUGUUGCAACCAGGAUUCAAAGUC